rnacentral:rRNA from 1 species
CCCUUAGAUGUUCUGGGCCGCACACGCGCUACACUGAAGGAGGCAGCGUGUACUCCUGGAUCGAAAGAUUUGGGUAACCCGCGAAUCUCCUUCGUGCUAGGGAUUGAGGUUUGCAAUUAUCCUUCAUGAACGAGGAAUUCCCAGUAAGUGCAAGUCAUAAGCUUGCGCUGACUACGUCCCUGCCCUUUGUACACACCGCCAGUCGCUACUACCGAUUGAAUGAUUUAGUGAGGACUUCGGACUGGGACCGAUGCGGCUUUCGGGCUGCGUCGGUAUUCUGGAAAGAUGUCCAAACUGUAUCAUUUAGAGGAAGUAAAANUCGUANCA